rnacentral:rRNA from 1 species
UACGUAGGGUGCAAGCGUUGUCCGGAAUUAUUGGGCGUAAAGAGCUCGUAAGCGGUCUGUCGCGUCGGCUGUGAAAACCCGGGGCUCAACCCCGGGCCUGCAGUCGAUACGGGCAGACUAGAGUGUGGUAGGGGAGACUGGAAUUCCUGGUGUAGCGGUGAAAUGCGCAGAUAUCAGGAGGAACACCGGUGGCGAAGGCGGGUCUCUGGGCCAUAACUGACGCUGAGGAGCGAAAGCGUGGGGAGCGAACAGG